UGCUUUAUUACGCUCUCUCUUUCUCUCAGUCUCUCACCAUCUGCACGAGAUAGAGAGAGAAAAAAAAAGGAGAGAACGCAAGAGUGAGAUAGAGAGAAAUCCGAGGGUGGCAACGACGGUGCUACAACGACGCCAGCCAUACUCCGGCACGGUGAAUGCGGAUUGAGCAGUCGAGUGACGGUGGUAAUGAUUCGUUACAACCUUCCAUACGGUGGUGAUAGAAAUUGUAUGGUGAUAACGACCAUUCGACAGUGAAAACGGUGGUUUAAGGCAACAAUGAUUUUUGGCGACUAAAUGAGGUUGUUUACAGCAACGAAACGAUGACAGAGGGUUGGACUUGAAAGGGGACGGGUAAAGUAGGUAAAAUGACGGUGGAAAUGGGUUGUUGAAGACCUAGCCCCUUCCUCCGGCGAAGGCGGCUAGGGUUCCGAUGAAGAUUCCGGCAAAACAUUUUCACAUACUUGUACGAAUGUACCACCGCAAUAGCUUCUCUUGCUAACGAAACGAUAGUAAGCGUGGCUUAUGGAUCAAAUCGUACAGUUGCUGUGGACUCAAAGGGUCAUGUUUACAAGUGGGGCUUUGGAGGAUAUUAAAGGUUGGUACCUUCUAAUUGUCAUCUACACCAAUCGGGUAUGUAUGAUAUCCAUUUAAUAUUAUUCUUAUUUUACAUAUGUUAUACACGAGUACAUGGUACUAUGGUCGAAGAGUUUCUUCCACCUUUACUCGCCAGCAACAAUUUUUGCGCGCCGCAGGUUGUGCCACCGUUUGCAGGAGCUCCGUUUUUGUACGCUGUUAUUGAUGAUUUUCUGCUUCAAGCUGGCUAAACAUGGUGGUGGUUCUAUCAAAAGGGUAUAGUUAUUUUUAUUUUAAAUAUAUUAUGUGUUGUUGUCUUGUUGGUAUUGUUGGGUUGAGUUUGUGAUGGUGAAGGUUAGAAGAAGGGUAACUUUAACCAUGGGAAUCGAACGAUGAAUAACCGAACCAACAUGGCUCAGCGAGAGGAUGUCAUUAGGAUAAUUAUUCGUGUGUCAGAUAUUGAUCAGGAGUGUCAAUUGAUCUAGGAUGUCUGGAACACAGUUGGAGCUUCUGGUUUGGCUAUUUUACUAUUGUAUUUGUUCUUCAACUUUGGUUUCUGUCGUAUUUAAUGUGAAGGAUUAUUUGUUUUUUUUUUGUUUAGUUUGUUUAUAGCAUUGGCCAGAAUUUCUCGACGCUUAACACGCUUGAUCAUUAGCGAUCUAACAUUAAAAUAAAAGUUAGUCGUAUUUUUUAACACUACUUUUUACUUAACAUAUAGGGACUUUUUAAGGAGUGUGGGGGAUGGAAACCGCACCAAAUUCUGGAAUUGGAAAGACGAAUGGACGGAAAGACAUCGCUGAUCUGGAAGAGGUUGUGGGUCACUUCAGUUUCAACUCGGUCCAGGACUCUUGGUGGGGUGGCGACAUGAGAGGGCUCCUUUUCUGUGAAGUCGGUGAGACAUGUGUUGGAGGCGGCUCUGUGUGGGAAGGACAAUGAGUUAUGUCAUAUGUGGCUGGAUUCAUUGGGUGCCAAUUAAAUUAAACUGUUUCGUGUGAAGGUUUAUUUAGAACAGGAUCCCGGUUAAGCAUAACCUUGUGUUCAGAGGGGUGUCGUUGGAUACGAACUAUUGCGGGUCAUGUGAUGGGGAGCGUGAGACGGUGCAACAUGUGUUUUUUGGUUGUCAGGAAGCAAAAUCCCUCUGGAGAGUUGUUUCUUUAUGGUACGAUUGGGACCUUACGGGUUGGGACAACAUUGAUCAGUUAUUCGAGGUGGCCGAGGAGUUGGUUACUCAGUCCGCUAGAAAAUGUAUUUUGGUGAUCAUUUACUUGACGUGAUGGUUCUUUGUAAGGGUAUAAAUCAAAGAACAUUCAGCAACUUAAAAAGAGGGAAGGAGUUCGCUCGGCACGAGAUUAUUUCUUGUUCGUUUAGCUGGGUGGUGAAUAGGUCCAAGCAUUCGUACCUGUGCUGGGAAGAUUUGGUCAAGAACCCUUGUUUAAGUUGAGGUUUUGUUGAUAUUGUUGUUGUAUAUCUUUCCUCUUAUUCUAUACUCUUCUGCCAGGUUUCUAGCUCCUUGCAAGCAAGCUUUGGCUUUUGUUUCUAAUAAUAAUAAUACUGUUAUGCCUUCCGGAAAAAAAAAAAAAAC